GGUCAAGCGAACAAGUGCAUGUGGUGGAUGCCUUGGCGAUCACAGGCGAUGAAGGACGCGGUAGCCUGCGAAAAGCUACGGGGAGCUGGCAAACGAGCUUUGAUCCGUAGAUGUCCGAAUGGGGAAACCCACUCCUUUUGGAGUAUCCAUGGCUGAAUACAUAGGCCAUGUGAAGCGAACGCGGUGAACUGAAACAUCUAAGUAACCGCAGGAAAAGAAAUCAACCGAGAUUCCCAAAGUAGUGGCGAGCGAAAUGGGAUGAGCCUUGCACUCUUUAUUUGUAUUGUUAGCCGAACGCUCUGGAAAGUGCGGCCAUAGCAGGUGAUAGCCCUGUAGGCGAAAACAGUAUGAAAGAACUAGGUGUGCGACAAGUAGGGCGGGACACGUGAAAUCCUGUCUGAAGAUGGGGGGACCAUCCUCCAAGGCUAAAUACUCGUGAUCGACCGAUAGUGAACCAGUACCGUGAGGGAAAGGCGAAAAAGAACCCGGGAGGGAGUGAAAUAGAUCCUGAAACCGCAUGCAUACAAACAGUCGGAGCCUCGUAAGGGGUGACGGCGUACCUUUGUAUAAUGGGUCAGCGACUUACGUUCAGUAGCAAGCUUAACCGUAUAGGGCAGGCGUAGCGAAAGCGAGUCCGAAUAGGGCGUUCAGUUGCUGGGCGUAGACCCGAAACCAGGUGAUCUAUCCAUGGCCAGGAUGAAGGUGCGGUAACACGUACUGGAGGUCCGAACCCACUAACGUUGAAAAGUUAGGGGAUGAGCUGUGGAUAGGGGUGAAAGGCUAAACAAACCUGGAAAUAGCUGGUUCUCUCCGAAAACUAUUUAGGUAGUGCCUCGUGUCUCACCUUCGGGGGUAGAGCACUGUCAUGGUUGGGGGGUCUAUUGCAGAUUACCCCGCCAUAGCAAACUCCGAAUACCGAAGAGUGCAAUCACGGGAGACAGACAUCGGGUGCUAACGUCCGGUGUCAAGAGGGAAACAACCCAGACCGCCAGCUAAGGUCCCCAAAUAUAGCUAAGUGGGAAACGAAGUGGGAAGGCUAAAACAGUCAGGAGGUUGGCUUAGAAGCAGCCACCCUUUAAAGAAAGCGUAAUAGCUCACUGAUCGAGUCGUCCUGCGCGGAAGAUGUAACGGGGCUAAGCUAUAUACCGAAGCUGCGGAUGCGUGCUUAGCACGCAUGGUAGGAAGAGCGUUCCGUAAGCCUGCGAAGGUGCCUUGUAAAGGGUGCUGGAGGUAUCGGAAGUGCGAAUGCUGACAUGAGUAGCGAUAAAGGGGGUGAAAGGCCCCCUCGCCGUAAGCCCAAGGUUUCCUACGCAACGUUCAUCGGCGUAGGGUGAGUCGGCCCUAAGGCGAGGCAGAAAUGCGUAGCUGAUGGGAAGCAGGUCAAUAUUCCUGCACCAUUGUUAGAUGCGAUGGGGGGACGGAUCGCGGAAGGUUGUCCGGGUGUUGGAAGUCCCGGUCGCUGCAUUGGAGAAGGCGCUUAGGCAAAUCCGGGCGCGGAAUUCAAGGGUGUGGCGCGAGCUCCUUAGGGAGCGAAGCAAUUGGAAGUGGUUCCAAGAAAAGCCUCUAAGCUUCAGUCUAAUGAUGACCGUACCGCAAACCGACACAGGUGGGCGAGAUGAGUAUUCUAAGGCGCUUGAGAGAACUCGGGAGAAGGAACUCGGCAAAUUGGUACCGUAACUUCGGGAUAAGGUACGCCCUUGUAGCUUGACUGGCUUGCGCCAGAAGGGUGAAGGGGUUGCAAUAAACUGGUGGCUGCGACUGUUUAAUAAAAACACAACACUCUGCAAACACGAAAGUGGACGUAUAGGGUGUGACGCCUGCCCGGUGCCGGAAGAUUAAAUGAUGGGGUGCAAGCUCUUGAUUGAAGUCCCGGUAAACGGCGGCCGUAACUAUAACGGUCCUAAGGUAGCGAAAUUCCUUGUCGGGUAAGUUCCGACCUGCACGAAUGGCGUAACGAUGGCCACACUGUCUCCUCCCGAGACUCAGCGAAGUUGAAGUGUUUGUGAUGAUGCAAUCUACCCGCGGCUAGACGGAAAGACCCCAUGAACCUUUACUGUAGCUUUGCAUUGGACUUUGAACCGAUCUGUGUAGGAUAGGUGGGAGGCUAUGAAACCGGAACGCUAGUUUCGGUGGAGCCGUCCUGAAAUACCACCCUGGUUUGUUUGAGGUUCUAACCUUGGCCCGUGAUCCGGGUCGGGGACAGUGCAUGGUAGGCAGUUUGACUGGGGCGGUCUCCUCCCAAAGCGUAACGGAGGAGUACGAAGGUACGCUAGGUACGGUCGGAAAUCGUGCUGAUAGUGCAAUGGCAUAAGCGUGCUUAACUGCGAGACCGACAAGUCGAGCAGGUGCGAAAGCAGGUCAUAGUGAUCCGGUGGUUCUGUAUGGAAGGGCCAUCGCUCAACGGAUAAAAGGUACUCUGGGGAUAACAGGCUGAUACCGCCCAAGAGUUCAUAUCGACGGCGGUGUUUGGCACCUCGAUGUCGGCUCAUCUCAUCCUGGGGCUGUAGCCGGUCCCAAGGGUAUGGCUGUUCGCCAUUUAAAGAGGUACGUGAGCUGGGUUUAAAACGUCGUGAGACAGUUUGGUCCCUAUCUGCCGUGGGCGUUGGAUAUUUGAAGGGGGCUGCUCCUAGUACGAGAGGACCGGAGUGGACGAACCUCUGGUGUACCGGUUGUCACGCCAGUGGCAUCGCCGGGUAGCUAUGUUCGGAAGAGAUAACCGCUGAAAGCAUCUAAGCGGGAAACUCGCCUUAAGAUGAGAUAUCCCUGGGGACUAGAUCCCCUUGAAGGGUCGUUCGAGACCAGGACGUUGAUAGGUCAGGUGUGUAAGCGCAGUAAUGCGUUCAGCUAACUGAUACUAAUUGCCCGUAAGGCUUGAUCCU
rnacentral:rRNA from 1 species